CUGCCCAGCUAGGUUUGCCCAAAGCCAGCGCUAAUGGAUUCUGAACACAACUCUGACCUGCUGGAGGAGCUGAGCUAGCUAACUGAGACUUUGCUUUGUAUGCAGCCCAAGAAGUCAACUAAGCCCUUUCCCAGAGUUUUCCCCAAUGCCUUGGAUCAAAGCCCAGUGUCGGACACCCGCUUGUGUCUAGAAGCGAGACAGAGACACGACCGCCCAGCACCUGCAAACCCGUGAACAACCACAGCGUUCCAUCAAGAAUCGACGGGAUGGCAUUCUCCGCGUCAUGGGGCGAGGUGUCAAGAGCUGAGUCAGAGAAUGAGACACACUGCCAAGGUCAUGUUUUUCAAGUUCUCACUCGUCUGACAGAUAAUGGAUUGACUGCCUAGAUCAGGAGUGUCAAACUCAAUGCAGCCCCUGGGGCAAAAUCUGUCUUCAACGAAGUCCGAAGGGCUGCACUGAAAAUUGGUUAUAUUUCCUCCCCGUCACAAUUUGCAAAAGAUAGUCCUAUAUCCAUUGUUUUUAGAAUUUUCUAUAAUCUGACUGUCUAGCUUUAAUUUGGGUGAUUAUUAGCGAGCUGGAAAAAGUGAAGAAUGUAGGUCCAUUAUCAUUUAUACACUUUUUCCCUUUGGUUUUAGUCAUUUGACCCACCAAUUUAGACAAGUGUCAUCUAAUAUGUAAUCAAAUAUUUUUAUCUGGACACUUUCUUUACCUGGAAUUGUUCCUUAUUGUAGGCUACUACUUUUACCACUUUUAGUCUUA